rnacentral:rRNA from 1 species
GAUGAACGCUAGCGGCAGGCUUAAUACAUGCAAGUCGAGGGGCAGCAGGACUGUAGCAAUACAGUUGCUGGCGACCGGCAAACGGGUGCGGAACACGUACGCAACCUUCCUUUAAGUGAGGGAUAGCCCAGGGAAACUUGGAUUAAUACCUCGUAAUAUUUGAGAGUGGCAUCACUUUCUAAUUAUAGCUCCGGCGCUUAAAGAUGGGCGUGCGACUGAUUAGGUAGUUGGCGGGGUAACGGCCCACCAAGCCUGCGAUCAGUAACUGGUGUGAGAGCACGACCCGUCACACGGGCACCGAGACACGGGCCCGACUCCUACGGGAGGCAGCAGUAAGGAAUAUUGGUCAAUGGACGCAAGUCUGAACCAGCCAUGCCGCGUGGAGGAUGAAGGUCCUCUGGAUUGUAAACUUCUUUUAUCUGGGAAGAAACCCAUAUUUUCUAGUGUGGUUGACGGUACCAGAUGAAUAAGCACCGGCUAACUCCGUGCCAGCCGCCGCAGUAACAC